CAACAAUGGUGGUGGCUGUGUUCCAGAGUGAAGUUGGUGUCACGGCAACCUGGAAUGCAGACCAGAAGGGCAGUGCCAGCAAGAGAUCACCCCGGGGUAAAAGAGUGAGCAAGGGCUGUGGUGGGUAAGAGCAGCCCAUGGGGAUGGACAGCGGCUACUCCUCCCCCACCUCACAGCCACACACAGGGACAGGGACACAGCAGGACAGUGAGACACUCCUGUUCUCACCUGCAUUCAUAUCCUGACAAGAGGGCCAAGCACUGCAGGACAGAUGGACUUCUUGGCACUGACAGAACCAGGCCUCCCCAGCCACCACCAAGCAACCCAUGUCUGCUCCUGGACAAGGCACAAAGUGAAGCAUGAGGAGAGCACACGCCCCGCCAUGAAAUGCACUGUGGUCCUACAGGAUCUGAGGAUCUGCAUGGCAUGGACAGAGGCAGCUCCACAGCACCUUCCAGCUACAGACCCCUCCAUGGACGUACACACACACACACAGACAUGCUCUACCGACAUAAUCAGCUCACCUUAGAAUGGAGUCAGGACCUUGAAUAUGGCACUCAUCAGCAUCUGAAGAAACCAUAUGGACUGUCUACAAUUGAGCUUUAAAUAUAUGGAAGGAAUAAGAAGGUAAAAAAGGAUGGAUGGACCCAACCCAGAAAUAGCAGAGACACCAUAUCCAGAAGAGAAGGCAAGCCCUGUAACUGAGCAUGCUCCUGAUGCCAGAGAUGAAAGUUUAGAAGCGAUGAAGAUUGACAGCCUUCUUCUCUCAACCCCCAGAUGACCACCAAGAAGCUACAACAGAAAAAAAAAAAAAAAAAGAAAAAAAAAAAAACCCUUCAAAUUAAAAUUUCUGAUCCAUUAAACCCCUGGUGCUUCUUCCAUCUCAUGACAUCUAUAGUGCCAACUUUUUUUUGGGGGGGGGGAGGGGUUGCUCCUUAUUGUCAUCAUCACCUUCAAUUUAUGCAUUUGUAUACCAAAGAAUGACA
rnacentral:lncRNA from 1 species